rnacentral:rRNA from 1 species
UACAGAGGUGGCGAGCGUUAUUCGGAAUUAUUGGGCGUAAAGGGUGCGUAGGCGGCUUGACAAGUCCCGGGUGAAAUCCCUCGGCUCAACCGAGGAACUGCCUUGGAAACUGUCUGGCUUGAGGCCGGGAGAGGGUAGUGGAAUUCCCAGUGUAGCGGUGAAAUGCGUAGAUACUGGGAGGAACACCGGUGGCGAAGGCGGCUACCUGGACCGGUUCUGACGCUGAGACACGAAGGCCAGGGGAGCAAACGGG